rnacentral:rRNA from 1 species
UGGGGAAUUUUGCACAAUGGGGGAAACCCUGAUGCAGCGACGCCGCGUGAUUUAGAAGGCCUUCGGGUUGUAAAAAUCUUUUUUACGGGAUGAAAAUGACAGUACCGUAAGAAUAAGGUCCGGCUAAAUACGUGCCAGCAGCCGCGGUAAUACGUAUGGACCGAGCGUUGUCCGGAAUCAUUGGGCGUAAAGGGUACGUAGGCGGCCUAGUAAGUUAGAAGUGAAAUAAUAUAGCUCAACUAUAUAAAGCUUUUAAAACGGCUAGGUUUGGGAGAUGGAAGGGAACGUGGGAUUCCUAGUGUGGCGGUGAAAUGCGCAGAUAUUAAGAAGAAUACCGGUGGAGAGGGAGACUUUCUGGUCAUCAUCUGACGCUGAGGUACGAAAGCGUGGGUAGCAAACAGG